AUAUAAAUUAAUUGUGUAUUCAGAAAUAAUAGUCACCGCUAUUAAAAGAAGUUAUUGUAAUUUAGCAUCUUAUUCCAUUUUGAGUGAUUCUCAGCUUUUGAAUUUUUCCAAAAUAGGACUUGUAUAGGUAAAUAGUAAAACCUAUCAGUUAAUUUUUUGCUGUGGAUAAGUGUACAAAAUAUACAUACAAGGUUAUUGGUAUCUGGAGAAAUCUCAUAUUUGCUGACUGUUUGUUUAUAAGAUUUCAUAUUUUAAAUUAGAUAUUUGCUGAAAUGACAUAUUACAUCUAAUUUUUGAAAUAAACAUUUAUAUUUGAAGUUGCUUUGGAUUUGAAAGCUGCAUCUUGUUUAGUAAUAAGACUUUCUUGAAAAAGAAAAUUGAGACUAGCAGAGAAGUUCAAAACAUAUUAGGGACCAAAAUGUGUUAAUCCAGUAUUUAUUAAAGGUGGAUAAACAGCUCUUCUUAAUUUUUCUGAUCCAUAUAUGUAAUUAUGUUUCUUCUAAAGUUUUAUAUGAAGUGUGUUGACAUGAAUUUUUUUCCAGAAAAAAAUUAGUUCAAUGUUAGGUAUUCAAGGGGAAAUAAGAAUUAAAGUCAGCAACUAUGUACCUGAUGUGAAAGUUUGGGCAAAUAUGUGGGAUUUAUACCAUUUUUCACUAGAAGUCUAUUGUGUGUAUCACUUGUACAGUCACCAAAAUGUGUAUAUCUAAGUGUUUUAAGUUAUGUAGCAUUGAUUUCCAGGAAAUGUUUAAUUAGCAGAUUGUUUUAAACUCACUUGUAUUUGGCCAUUAUCAUUAUAUACAUACAUACAGAUAGAUAGAUAGAUAGAUAGAUAGAUAGAUAGAGGAAAUUUGUAGACAGAAUCAUAGGAUAUAAGUUGAGAAAUAAUUGUAUUUGUCAAAAGUUCAAAAAUGGAAUUAUUUGAUAUUUUAAAAUAUUUAUUUAAGGAGUGAGAGAAGGCAGAGGAAACACUUUGUUUUGCCAUACUCCCUAAGGUUUAUUCAUUGUUUGCUCUUUAAAUGGACAUUUUAUUUCAGUAAGAACUUUUUCCUUUGAAGAGAAAGGUUUGAAUUUUAAAGAUUCAUGGCGUUUGUCCCUCAGUUUUCCUACCCCCAUUCCAACAACCCACCAGUCAUGAAUUCUGAAGAUCACUUUCAUUGUCUUUCUUCCUCUUCAUUCUUUCAUUAAAUCAAAAUCCUAUUUCUGUUUUUUAAAAUGCAAAUUAGAGAUAUGUUCCACUGGCAGUUAUAUUCGGUAAUGUUUCUUUCCUUGGAUCACUUUUGGAGAACAUUUUUUAAAAAAAAUAAAAAUAACACUGCAUAAAACAAAGUUACAUCAUAAAUCUUCAACUAUCACAGACAUUUAUUUCAAAAAGAACUAAACAUUUCUACUUAAGACAUCCGACAGCUAACAUAAGGAUUGCAGUUGAUUCAAAGCAGGAAUAUACAUUUUAUUCAAUACCAGAGGCUGUUUGCAGAUCCCUUCUUAAAUAUGCAAAAAACCCUUAUAACAGAUGAUGGAGAA